CCAAUAGCGUAUAUUAAAGUUGUUGCAGUUAAAAAGCUCGUAGUUGAAUUUCGGAAUCUGUCCGUCGGUCGGGCUUCACUGUCCGUACUGGUGUGAUGGGUUUCUACCUUCUGAAUAACCGGCAUGUCAUUAAUUUGGUGCGCCGGGGAAGCAGAACUAUUACCUUGAAAAAAUUAGAGUGCUUAAAGCAGGCUAUCGCCUGAAUAGAUUAGCAUGGAAUAAUAAAAUAGGACGGCAUGGUUCUAUUUUGUUGGUUUCUAGGAUCACCGUAAUGAUUAAUAGGGAUAGUUGGGGGCAUUAGUAUUCAAUUGGCAGAGGUGAAAUUCUUGGAUUUAUUGAAGACUAACUUCUGCGAAAGCAUUUGCCAAGGAUGUUUUCAUUAAUCAAGAACGAAAGUUAGGGGAUCGAAGACGAUCAGAUACCGUCGUAGUCUUAACCAUAAACUAUGCCGACUAGGGAUCGGACGAUGUUAAUUUUUUAAUGACUCGUUCGGCGCCUUACG
rnacentral:rRNA from 1 species